CCGAUGUAGCUUAGAGAUAGAGCAACUGUUUCGUAAUCAGUAGGUCGGAGGUUUGACUCCUUCCAUCGGC
rnacentral:tRNA from 1 species